rnacentral:pre_miRNA from 1 species
AAUAAGUGCAGUUUUGCACUAUUCAUGUUCAACGUUUGACCGUCCGUCUUAUUUGAAAAUUUUUUAUAAUUAGUAUUUUUAUUGCUAUUAGAUGAUAAAACAUGAAUAGUACUCUAUGUGUGACUAAAUGUUUUUAAUUUUUUCACAAAUUUUUCAAAUAAGACGGACGGUCAAACGUUGAACAUGAAUAGUGCAAAACUGCACUUAUU